GGAACUAGUGUGAUAUAGUGGUUUGAAUGUUAGACUAUGAGUCUGGAGACCAGGGUUCGAAUCCCUACUUGGCCA
rnacentral:tRNA from 1 species